rnacentral:lncRNA from 1 species
AGCUUCUCCUCGAGCCCACCCCCGCAGGGCCGCGGGGAAGGAGAAGGGAACCGCUCGUCUCCUACACGCGGUCCGCGAGCGCGGACGGCCCCCGGCGGCCCCACGCGGCAGCGGAGCAGCCUCCCGCAGCCACGAUUCUCUCCACGUGCUCUCGCCGGAACUCGCGCUGCAGAAGGGGGCUCCCUCCCACGUGGGCGCAGCAAUCCCUGACUACCUGCGGGGUGACCCGCCCCUCCAGUAACAGGGAAAAAGGGACUGGGGGAGAGAGCGUGAGCGCGUGCCGGAGCUCAGGGAGGGAGGGCGCCCGGCGGAGCGCGACCUCGGCUCCCCGCCCGCGCGCACUCGCCGGCUGUGCUUAGCGGACGUGGCUCCUGGCGCCCAGGAGUGUCCCGGCUGCCCAAACUUUUUCCGCUCCCAGGCCCGGAGUAGGGAGGAAGCGGGUCCCCGCAGGGUCGAGGAAGAGACUGAUGGAGGCCAGACCACUUUGCCAGAGCCCAGCCUGCCGCCCCGCCCGCGCUGACUUACCUUCUGCACUUGGUCAUGGUUGAGCUCCGUGAAGAAGUAGGCAAGCAGAUGCGAGGCAAUCAUCCUGCCGCGGCCCGACGGCGCAGAGUUGGGAAACCGAGGCGGAGACGCGAGAGGGGAGGCGGGCGGCGCGGUCCGACUGCUUUGUGCUGGGGCUCGGCUGCCGGGCCGGGAGCUGGGAGUCCGGACGGCGCACAAAGAAGGCUACCGGCGAGGGUGCGCCCGGCUGGCGGAGGGCGCGGGUCUCCGGAGACGUGAUUUUGGCGUCACAACUGCUAGAAGGCGCCUCAGUUCUCUCCUGGCGACGUGUCCGGUUGUCCCACGUCAAGGCGCUAACUUCGGCCACAGGAUCACUGAGGCUCAACUUGAGAAGAAUCUCAGCCCGGCUCCACUCGGGCAGUGGGACCUCUCCGAUUCACAGGCGCGUGGCUCGGGCCCGCGGAUUUUCUUAGCUGGGUGACACGAUGUUGCCAGCGGCAGCCCGGGACUCCUGCGCCGGAGUUUCAUGCAACAAUGUGGCUUAUUGAGGGGCUGCCGGCCCGCGGGCCUCCGGAUCAGUGACGUGCGCACGCCCAUUGGCUGCGCGGGGAGGGUGUGUGCGCCCACGGACCGCCCGCCGCCGUGGCGCAGCCAAUCAUCGCUCACGGC